CCUACGGGCGGCAGCAGUGGGGAAUAUUGGGCAAUGGGCGCAAGCCUGACCCAGCAACGCCGCGUGAAGGAAGAAGGCUCUCGGGUUGUAAACUUCUUUUCUCAGGGCCGAAAAAAGUGACGGUACCUGCGGAAUAAGCCACGGCUAACUACGUGCCAGCGCCCGCUGCGAUACGUCGGUGGCAAGCGUUAUCCGGAUUUAUUGGGUGUAAGGGGCGUGUAGGCGGGAGUGAAAGUCAGGUGUGAAAACUCAGGGCUCAACCCUGAGCCUGCAGUUGACACUGUGUGUCUUGAGUGCUGGAGAGGCAAUCGGAAUUCCGGGUGUAGCGGUGAAAUGCGUAGAUAUACGGAGGAACACCAGUUGCGAAGGCAGAUUGCUGGACAGUAACUGACGCUGAGGCGCGAAAGCGUGGGGAGCAAACAGGAUUAGAUACCCGUGUAGUC
rnacentral:rRNA from 1 species